GACGAACGCUGGCGGCGUGCUUAACACAUGCAAGUCGAGCGAGACCCCGCUUUCGGGUGGGUGUUCUAGCGGCGAACGGGUGAGUAACACGUGGGCAACCUGCCCUCAGCUCUGGGAUAACUCCAAGAAAUUGGGGCUAAUACCGGAUAUGACCGCUGACCGCAUGGUCUGGUGGUGGAAAGAUUUAUCGGCUGGGGAUGGGCCCGCGGCCUAUCAGCUUGUUGGUGGGGCAGUGGCCUACCAAGGCGACGAAGGGUAGCCGGCCUGAGAGGGUGACCGGGCACACUGGGACUGCGACACGGCCCAGACUCCUACGGGAGGCAGCAGUGGGGAAUAGUGCGCAAUGGGCGAAAGCCUGACGCAGCGACGCCGCGUGGGGGAUGACGGCCUUCGGGUUGUAAACCUCUUUCAGCAGGGACGAAGCGAAAGUGACGGUACCUGCAGAAGAAGCACCGGCCAACUACGUGCCAGCAGCCGCGGUAA
rnacentral:rRNA from 1 species